rnacentral:rRNA from 1 species
GACGAACGCUGGCGGCGUGCUUAACACAUGCAAGUCGAACGGAAAGGCCCUGCUUUUGUGGGGUGCUCGAGUGGCGAACGGGUGAGUAACACGUGAGUAACCUGCCCUUGACUUUGGGAUAACUUCAGGAAACUGGGGCUAAUACCGGAUAGGAGCUCCUGCUGCAUGGUGGGGGUUGGAAAGUUUCGGCGGUUGGGGAUGGACUCGCGGCUUAUCAGCUUGUUGGUGGGGUAGUGGCUUACCAAGGCUUUGACGGGUAGCCGGCCUGAGAGGGUGAACGGCGACCUUGGGACUGAGAGACGGCCCAGACUCCUACGGGAGGCAGCAGUGGGGAAUAUUGCACAAUGGGCGGAAGCCUGAUGCAGCAACGCCGCGUGCGGGAUGACGGCCUUCGGGUUGUAAACCGCUUUCGCCUGUGACGAAGCGUGAGUGACGGUAAUGGGUAAAGAAGCACCGGCUAACUACGUG